GGAAGUAAAAGUCGUGACAAGGUUUCCGUAGGUGAACCUGCGGAAGGAUCAUUAUUGUAUAACCGAGGUGCGAGGGCUGUCGCUGACCCGAAAGGUCGUGCACGCCCGAGUGCCCUCACACACAUCCAUCUCACCCCUAUGUGCACCACCGCGUGGGUCCCCCUUUGGCGUGUUCGGAGGGGGGCUUACGUUUUCACACAAACUUUGUAUGCAGUGUAGAAUGUAUUUUUUGUUUUUGCGAUCACGCAAUCAAUACAACUUUCAACAACGGAUCUCUUGGUUCUC
rnacentral:misc_RNA from 1 species